CCCCACCGAUGGGACUGCGAUACGGCCCAUACUCCUACGGGAGGCUGCAGACGAGAAUAUUCCGCAAUGGACGCAAGUCUGACGGAGCGACGCCGCGUGAUGGAUGAAGUGCUUUGGUAUGUAAACAUCUUUUAUCGGGGACGAAGUUUAUUGACGGUACCCGAUGAAUAAGGGGCUCCUAACUCUGUGCCAGCAGGAGCGGUAAUACAGAGGCCCCAAGCAUUACCCGGAAUCACUGGGCGUAAAGGGUGUCUAGGCGGCCAUAUUAGUCUUGCGUUAAAUCCGUGGGCUCAACCUGCGGUCUGCGUGAGAAACGGUAUGGCUCGAGGGCGUGAGAGGUGCACGGAACUCAUGGUGGAGGGGUGAAAUCCGUUGAUAUCAUGGGGAACACCAAAGGCGAAGGCAGUGCACUGGUACGUUCCUGACGCUCAAACACGAAAGCCAGGGUAGCGAACGGGAUUAGAUACCCCGGUAGUCCUGGCCCUCAACGUUGCUCGCUCGCUUUACGGAGUAUCGACCCUCUGUGAGGCUAAGCUAACGCGGUAAGCGAGCCGCCUGGGUAGUACGAUCGCAAGAUUAAA
rnacentral:rRNA from 1 species